rnacentral:misc_RNA from 1 species
AAGUCGUAACAAGGUUUCCGUAGGUGAACCUGCGGAAGGAUCAUUAACACGUAUCCAACGUUAAAAACCCCGUGAACCUUUAUCGCCGCUCCUCAUGGCUAAGUCUUGGAUAAAGCCAACACAGCAAUCCCUGCACUCGUCGAGAAAAUGUAAAGAGGAGGGACCUCUGUUUGGUAGAGCACUGUGGGUUCGAGCGCUUGGUAAGGUGGCUUGUUUUUCCCCAACCAAUCAGUGAAUGACAGUGUUACUGAUUGUCUAAGGAUUUCGCUUGACGAUCACUAGAGGUCGAUUACCGGCCGUCACAGGGCUCACUUUCUAUUGCCGCUCCGCGCUAACAACGCCGGGCAUUCAAAAACGUUUAAACAACUGUUACAAUGGAUAUCUUGGUUCUC